rnacentral:rRNA from 1 species
AGAGUUUGAUCCUGGCUCAGGAUGAACGCUGGCGGCGUGCCUAAUACAUGCAAGUCGAACGCUUUGUGGUUCAACUGAUUUGAAGAGCUUGCUCAGAUAUGACGAUGGACAUUGCAAAGAGUGGCGAACGGGUGAGUAACACGUGGGAAACCUACCUCUUAGCAGGGGAUAACAUUUGGAAACAGAUGCUAAUACCGUAUAACAAUGACAACCGCAUGGUUGUUACUUAAAAGAUGGUUCUGCUAUCACUAAGAGAUGGUCCCGCGGUGCAUUAGCUAGUUGGUAAGGUAAUGGCUUACCAAGGCGAUGAUGCAUAGCCGAGUUGAGAGACUGAUCGGCCACAAUGGGACUGAGACACGGCCCAUACUCCUACGGGAGGCAGCAGUAGGGAAUCUUCCACAAUGGGCGAAAGCCUGAUGGAGCAACGCCGCGUGUGUGAUGAAGGGUUUCGGCUCGUAAAACACUGUUGUAAGAGAAGAAUGACAUUGAGAGUAACUGUUCAAUGUGUGACGGUAUCUUACCAGAAAGGAACGGCUAAAUACGUGCCAGCAGCCGCGGUAAUACGUAUGUUCCAAGCGUUAUCCGGAUUUAUUGGGCGUAAAGCGAGCGCAGACGGUUAUUUAAGUCUGAAGUGAAAGCCCUCAGCUCAACUGAGGAAUUGCUUUGGAAACUGGAUGACUUGAGUGCAGUAGAGGAAAGUGGAACUCCAUGUGUAGCGGUGAAAUGCGUAGAUAUAUGGAAGAACACCAGUGGCGAAGGCGGCUUUCUGGACUGUAACUGACGUUGAGGCUCGAAAGUGUGGGUAGCAAACAGGAUUAGAUACCCUGGUAGUCCACACCGUAAACGAUGAGUGCUAGGUGUUUGAGGGUUUCCGCCCUUAAGUGCCGCAGCUAACGCAUUAAGCACUCCGCCUGGGGAGUACGACCGCAAGGUUGAAACUCAAAGGAAUUGACGGGGACCCGCACAAGCGGUGGAGCAUGUGGUUUAAUUCGAAGCAACGCGAAGAACCCUACCAGGUCUUGACAUCCCUUGACAACUCCAGAGAUGGAGCGUUCCCUUCGGGGACAAGGUGACAGGUGGUGCAUGGUUGUCGUCAGCUCGUGUCGUGAGAUGUUGGGUUAAGUCCCGCAACGAGCGCAACCCUUAUUACUAGUUGCCAGCAUUCAGUUGGGCACUCUAGUGAGACUGCCGGUGACAAACCGGAGGAAGGUGGGGAUGACGUCAAAUCAUCAUGCCCCUUAUGACCUGGGCUACACACGUGCUACAAUGGCGUAUACAACGAGUUGCCAACCCGCGAGGGUGAGCUAAUCUCUUAAAGUACGUCUCAGUUCGGAUUGUAGGCUGCAACUCGCCUACAUGAAGUCGGAAUCGCUAGUAAUCGCGGAUCAGCACGCCGCGGUGAAUACGUUCCCGGGUCUUGUACACACCGCCCGUCACACCAUGAGAGUUUGUAACACCCAAAGCCGGUGGGGUAACCUUCGGGAGCCAGCCGUCUAAGGUGGGACAGAUGAUUAGGGUG